UCCUUAAAUCAAGAUGCACUUUCUCUAAUAAAUAAUAAUUAAUUCAAAAAUAAUUAAUACAUUUUUAAUUAAAAAGUCUUCUUUUCUAAAACAAAUGCAUAAUUAAAUGCAAAACUGCAUUUAAAACAAGAAACAAUGGGGUAAAAAAAAUUAUUUUAAACAGAAAACAAGUUUAUUUUUCUUACACCAUUGGCAUAUAUUUUUUCCUGUUUUAAGCAUAAAGUUCAGUCACUUAAUUCUGAUUUUUUUUUCAGAAAACUUUAUAUCUUGUCAUUUAGCUAAUCAUGUAAAUAUAUCUAAAGGAUGUUUAGGUACUUUAUUUAAAGCCUUUAUAUAUAAAGCAUUAUAAAAGUAUUUAAUGCAUUAAUUAUGUUUUGUAAUGCACCUUAUAAUGAUCUCUUGAAUAAUUGUAACCACAGUUAUAAUAUUAUCUAUUAAUCAAACACAACUUUAGAAAGUAUAACGCACUAAAACACACGACAAACAACCAAUUUCAGAUGUUACAAAAAAUCUGCAAAUAAUGCAUUUUAACUUUGGUUACAAUUAUUUAUGAUAUAAUGUACAUUAUGAAAACCUUUAUAAUGCAUUAUACAUAUGUUACACAUGUUAAUGGUAUUUGUACUGGAAAACAAUAGAAUUAAUGAGCAGGAAAAUAAUGUUUUGCAGUAAAGUGAUAUCAGCUGCAAUUUGAUCAGCCAUUUUUACUCAAAAUAUAAUGCUAACUGGAUGCCACAUGUACAGUAUGCAUUCAGAUGAGUUGAUCAUAGCUAAUGUUUAUCAUUACAAAAUGCAUACUGUAUAUAGUAAGUAGUGAGGUAUUAAACUGGUUUGUGAGUGGUGUGUGAAUAAGGCGCAGGGCUUUGCACAACUGUUUGGUGAAUCGUCCCACAGAGACAAGCAGUCAGAGUUUGGCUGCCAUAUAAACCAACCCAAACAGCUGCCGGAGUGAGUCUGCUCCAAAAUAAACACAGCCGAACGGUCAGCGCUGCUUCCCAUAUACUGUAGGUCACAUGUGCGCAACAUGCUGGAAGAAGUUGAUCUGAAGUCAUGCCGUGAAGUGACAAAGUGUUGUUCUUCUUUUUAAAGUUAGAAUAAAUCUAUAUUUAUACGGAGACAAAGAGCGAUAUGUGUGUGACUCGACAGCAGUACUGUGGUUUUGAACAGCUAAAAAUGCCUCUCUGUGAAUACCAAACAAACAAUAUAACCUCAUAUUUCCAGAUAACAAUUUCAGAUCCAGUCAUGCUUGCAGAUUUAUCAUGGUCUCUUGCAAAUUGUGCAGUAUUUAUCUGUUCUUUUUGCUGUAGUAGCUUUUUGCACCAUCUAUUAAUGCCAGGAGAAUUUUCCAGCCAUGGAGCUGUGUUUUGCAAGUUUUAGUGUUUUAUAUUUUAAUAACUUUUCUAUAUUUUAGGUCGGAUUGGUGGAUAGAUGGAAGGAAUAUUCUACAUAUAAGUCACUAUUAUGCCUUUCAAACAAAUACUGUAAUUCUUUUGCAGUUCCUUAUUAAAUCACCAGCUAAUUUUGUUUCUCUCGGCGAGUGUUUUUAGGUAAAAAGUACAAAGAAUAGACAAAAAAAGUGAUUGUUCUUCUUUUCUCAGGCGUAAUUCCAAAGUUUCAUUGUAAAAUAGCACACACACACACACACACACACACACACACACACACACACACAAAGCAAAGGGCGCUUCAGGCAAAUUAUUGGCCAGCUAAAAAUAACCCUGGAUUGCUCAAUCAUAUUCUCCACAAGCUGUGAGAUAAAACGAAUGAUGAGAAAAUAGUCCACAGAUACAAAAGCCUGCUAAACCGUACAUGCACGGUUGGAUCCGUUUAAGUAUAAUUAAUCCUGAUCUGUAGGAGAAGCAAAGUUAAUGAAAAACAUCUGAGGACUGCUUUUUCUCUCACCGCUGAGCAAUAACAUGCUCCUCCCGUCUGGUUAGUCUGUGAUUUUGUCUCAGCCUUGGGUAAUAUUCAUUAAUGUCAAGACAUUUUUAGCUGGAAGAAUUAUUAUAUCAAUUAUUUACAAAUAACAAAGUAUGGAGGGGGAAAUGUGACAUUUACCGGUUUAAUAAUAUUUGUUUGCCUGCGAAACUCUUUUUUUUCUGUAGCUGUGUGCCACAGCAAAAGUUUAUUUCCUGUGAUUAAUAAUGGUAAGAGUAAUAAUGGUAACCCUUGCCCAAAGACAUUAGACACAAAAACUCAAUUACAGCAGCAGACUGUGGCCAAUGCCGCAGAGACUAUUAAUAAGAAAUGUAAUUAUUUUUACAUUAACUCUAAUACGCGACCCAUCCAAGAGUGAAUGAUUACUCAGGAACACAUAUGAGCUUGUGUUUUCGAGUAGUGUUUUUGAAAAGGUUGCUCUUUUCUGUUUCUUCCAGGCCUCAUGAGCAUCUCUGUCAGACACGAAAGAAUCCGCUUCAGCCGUGUCUUUCCAGCAAAGACAAAGAUGCUGCACUCAUAUUCCUAUGACUGGGCAACAUGGCCGCCGAGUCAAAUGACUAUCCUUAAAGGGACUUUGCUUUUGGUCUCUGUGCCCUUUAACCUGCCGUUAUAGAACAUUCAUGAGCCACUGCGUUAAGUCUGGAACGAAUGAACCAUCAGAUAGCGGAGAGAACGCGGAGUUCUGCCGCUGGGGAACACGGUUCAAUCCGAUUUGCAUGAGGGAUGGAAUAAAAGAUCUGUGGGAAGGAACUGCUAAUGUUUUACAGAACGUUAGGCAGUUCCGCACACAUGCAUGUGUUAAUACCUUCGUUUUUAAAGAUCCAGUGAGCUCGCUAUGAUAAACACCACGUAUAACGUGAGGCAUCUGUGAAAUAUGUUUGUCUGAGUCCCUAAUGAAAGAGGAUUAUUUGCAGUGUCGUCUGUGGAAGUAUUUCUUGAGGCUGGGCUCCGUGGAAGACUGCUUUAUGUCAUUAGUAGUCAUUGCUCACAGUCGGCACACGAGCCCCAGGGCACAGCGGCACGCGUUAAUUACUUCACUAAUGACCCUUUGUGAGAGAAUCAAGCUGUGGUUGUGGAGCUGUUCCCAAAUCUCUCUCCUCCCAUCAUUCCCUCCCCUUCAUUCCUCUCAUAUCUUGAACCUCUCCAUUGACCUGCUUCUUUCCUUCAACAGUUUUUAACCAUUUAAAGGGGACCUGAAAUGCUCUUUUUCAAAGUCACUGCUAGAAAGGUUUUCAUGAUUGAAUGUUCAAAAAAACGACUUCUGUCUUCCCAGUCUGUCAGUAACCCUCUUUUUAGUUCCUGUCUCUAUGAAGCCCCUCCUUCUGAAAAGCACAAUGUGCUCUGAUUGGUCGGCUGGAGCAGUGUGUUGUGAUUGGUGUUUGGGAAAUGUCCCGCCCCUUACCAUAACCGCCAGUUUCAACACACUACUAACUAACUCAACCAGGCCCCGCCCCUUUAUUCUGCGUAUGAAUUAUUUAAAUGAGGAAUAUUGUGAAGAAAACUCCAAUGGAGUUCAGAAACACUGACACUGAUAUAGAGAAGAACUCCUGCUGGAGGGACUUUGCAGAGCUUUUUCAUGCUCAAACAGCAACAUUACACACUAAAGAGAGUUGAACAUGGAAAAAAGCAUAAAAGGACCCCUUAAUUCAGGACUUUUGCACUCCAUUUUGAUGCUUGACAUCUCUGAUUUUUCAUGCACACACUGACAAAAAUUAACAAAAAAAUGUGUGGAGGAGAAAUGUGACAUUUACAGGUUUAAUAAUAUUAGUUUGCCUGUAAAACUUUUGUUUUUCUGCAUCUGUAGCCACGGUUUCCAUUUAGAUGCAAUGCACCAUGUUUGACAUCUCAGAUUUUUCAUGCACAAGCAGUGGGGAAAAAAUGUGCAGGAUUUACUUUUGAAACAAUUUUCACUUAGAAAUUGCCAGUGAAUUUAAUAAAUAUUCGCAAGGAAAUGGCAGGUAACACAUUUAACAAAUUGAAGAUGGAAAGACUGAAAUAGUAUUUUCUUGUACAACAUAUUUCAAUAAUCUUUUUUAUUUACAACCUUGAUAAAAUAAUUUUUUACAGCGCAUGGAAGAUGUCAGACCACCAAAGCUGAAGGCGCCAACUGAGCGAAGAAGAAUGGGUUUUUAAUCUAAAAUUUAUAUUUUAUUUCGAUUACUGAUUUACUGUAGUUUUAGUUAACAAUAACAACACUGAUAGACUGAAUCAUUUAAUCAGAUCUUGUGAUGUCCAGUUGCUUUUGGACCCAUCUCUUUCAUUUAAAUGCAAUGCACCAUGUUUGACGUCACAGAUUUUCCAUGCCCAUGAAAGAUGGCAAACCACCAGGACAGAAGGAGCCAGCUGAGCGACGGCCAUUGAGAAGAAUGGGAAUGCAAACUAUCAGUCUUAAAUAGAACAGUAGCGCCGUGCGGGUUGGAGACGAGAUUUUUAUUUUCGAACAAGCCGGCGAGGACUGCAAUUUUCUGCCGACUGAAUUUUCCAGACGCUAAUCAGACGCUACAGCCUAUGUCUGAUGGGAUGCAUUAAAGAACCCAAAGAUCAAGGUCAGAUGAAGCCACAAAACAAAAUUGAAUGGAGUAGCUGCAGAUGCUGGCUGAGAUCCAGAGAAGUGGAGAAACAUCUGAGACAACGUUGAUACCCACAUGAAACAUGACUCACUUCCUGAAGUUGGAUCAAGGAUUGCAGAAAGAGAAUGAAGAAUUGUAAGGAUUAUUCUGAUCUGAGAUGUCAGCGAGUCUUCAGGCUCACACUGCAUCUCCACACCCUCCAGCUCAACCCGACACACAACAACACUGACAGCUAUAUUUAUCCGAGGCCCUCCGGAUCUUCCCCAUUAGCCACCUCAGCGCCUGUGGCUUCUCUCCGGCAGCUCCUCACAGAUCACACACGCCUCGCAGGAACAGGAAGUCCAAGUGCUGGUACGUGUAGGCGACCCCGAUCUUGGUCUCCACCUGUGGUCUCUUGAGGGUGGAGUAAAUCUUUCCCGGACUGUUGUCUUCCGUCUGACGGAACUUCCUCAAGCCGCAGCCCAUUUCUGCCGAACGACUGCACACUAAAGCCUGGGAUCAGAGACACAGAGUUUAAACAAUGUCUUCA